UCUACCCAUUCACGCAUAACAGAAUACUUACUACACUACUCAACCCCUACACCACACUCCGCCAAAAUGCCGGUCAAGCGCAGCCGCGCCGGGAGAUCCUCGGCCUGCCUCGACGCCGCUCCGGGGAAGCUCACCAAAUCAGACGCCUCCGCCGACGCGGCGCCCCCGAAGCUGCUCCACGUUGCUUCUCCGGUGAAUACCCCCGAAUGUGCCGCUGAUCGGACCAAAAUUGGAGGUUUCCUGGAGCGGUGCCACUAUUGCAACAAGCGGAUUGCUCAGAAUUCUGAUGUUUUUAUGUACAGCAACCUAUGUGCUUUCUGCUCUGUCGAAUGCCGUGAGUGUCAGAUUAAUCUCGACAAAUUGGCUGGGAAAAAGCCACAACAUUAGCAAAAGAAGUUGUUUGAAGGGCAUAACUGAAGUCGAAUGCUGAUCGUAUAUCACAUAUCAAAUACUACUACAAAUAUAGAUGCAGGCUGUUGGUUUUUGAGGAACAGUUUGUGCUUCUGCAUAUAAGAUAGAAACAGUAUACAUCAUGUUGAUAGUAGUUCUUAACUACACUACACUUAUAGUUCCAGUUCUUUUGCUUCUGUUGAUAUCAUAUUAUGAAAAUUUCUCUUUUUUUUAUUGCUUUUUAGAAUAUUAGAUCCAACUGUUUAUGCUCUUUACAUGUUCCUUUUUUAAUGUACAAAGGAUAUCCCCAUAAUGAAUUCGUUUAAGAUAAUAACUACUGUGUCAAUGGCAUCCGAAUCAUUUGCUAAGACAACGAGAGUUAAGAGAAGGAAACUUCAUAAUGCUCUGUCUUGAGAUAGAUAGCUUGGCAGUAGAAUCGGUAAAUUGCAGUUACCUAAAAAAGUUAUUUCUUGCAGAUGAUUGUAAUUUGCUUACAUGUGAUAUUAUAUGCAAGAAGAUACAAAGAUUAGAUGCAUCUGUCUAGCACUUGAAGUAUUUUACUGUUAUAGGAGUAAUUAAGAAGUAUUUUACUGUUAUAAUUUGUCCAAUUUCUUUCUCAACUAUGCUCUUUCUUAUAUUCUAUGUUACAUUGAAAUUGUGCCAUGAUUCCUGUCCUUCUUCUCUCCUUUCUUAGUUUCCUGAAGAAGACCUUUUUAUCUUCUACAAGUUCUCGAAAUUGUAUUCAUGAUUUUUCUGUUCAUCUGCGCGUUGAAUGUUUUCAAUCUGCUUUGUUGUUCAAUGCUCUGUUUUGAUGCCAUCCAUACUUCUAGGAAACCUAGCUCCUGAUUCAGAUUUCAUCACGAAUUCACGAUUCUCCUCUUCCUAUCAGACAUUUUAAACUGAAUCCUGAAAAGUGUUGGUUAUAAAAUAUGAACUUCAUUGAGUUAUGUUGAGAACUGGCCUAACUGGAUGGAAGAUCCUUUGACAUGUAUCAUCAAUGCAGCUCUGCUAGUUUGCUUUCUAGUCCUGUGUUAACUUGACGAAGGAUAAUUCCACAUGUGAUGGGCGUAAUUUUGGUUCAGAUUCUGCUUGUGUUCCACAUUGUAGUAUGAAGCAUGACACGAGGGCUUCCACCUCGAUGAUCUAUGUUCGUCUCUUAUUAUGAUCACCGUAAGUAUAAUUAUCUCUUCGAUUGUGUAGAUGACCAGGAGCCUAAUUUUCACCAGCCCUUCUUAGCUUGAAAAAAAUAAAUGGGCUUUCAGAAUUUAUUUCUGGCUUGUUUUGUGCAGUGCUUUUCUGUUGAUAAUUUGCUUCAAGUUCACCAAUUAUUAGUGUCAUUUUGUUGUUACUACUUUUCCCAGAACUUAGCAGACUCUCGUGCAACUUGUUGAACAGACUGCUGUUGAAACUUGUUUGUUUUUUUGCAGGUUUUGCUGUCAUAAGCUCAUGCUCAACUGCAGACUGCACAAGGUCUAAAGUGAUUGAGCUGUGGCAUAUACGUGGUGUCAUCAUCAAAUUAAUGUGGGCAUAAAGCUAUGGACCAUUGAAUCUUUCUGAUGUGAGAGAGCAGUUUCAGGUUCACCCAUUUAACACGUAACUCAAUUUCAUCACCAUGAGAUCUUGAUUUUUGAUAGUCCAUUAAUGAAAAUAAUUGAGUUUUUGUUUUGAUUUGUCAUUUCAUAAUUAUUGCCUUUGUAUAUCUCAGUCAACGUCCGGGCAUCUUAUAAUUCGUACUACUACCAUUUUCUGUUUUGAGUUUGGUAUUCGUAAUUAAUUUCUUAAGCUGAUGAUGCGUGAUUAAUAAGAAUAUACUGAUGUGAUGGGAUUUGCAAAAUGUUGGGAUAAAAUGUCUAAACUCUAAACUGAGGGGAGUAAUAGUAUUGGAUUUUUAUCAGUCAAAAUCAAAUACUUCUCCUGGAUAAUAGUAUUUGUAAUUUAUUACUCCAUGUCAUUUUCUGCAUUAUCUAGGGAAUUGUUUUGUGUACGUCAUUUUCUAGUCGAUUUAGGAAUUCGUGAUGUAAGUUUUGUUUUGUCUUAUACUUUUAACUUUUUUAGCAAGUCACGGUACUUCAGAUAGAUUCCACAUUAAAAAUAAUGUAAAAACUAAAUAUGUUGAAGAUUAUAAAUACUGAAAAUUAAAUUAGUACUAGUACUAAAUUAACAGGGACUAAGCAGUCUUUAAAGUUGGGCAAAGUUUUGGGAUGAAAUUAUAGAUGGAUAUAUUAAUUUCUCAAGGGAUUUUCAUUUGGGACGAAGGUAAUGUUAUAUAGAGUUAAUUUUAUGUGAUAUAUGUGGUUUGAAUAGUAAAAAAAACAUUUCUUUAUUUUCAUAAAAUUUAUGAGCAGUUGUAGCAAAAGAUCCAGAUGAGCCAUGGAAUUGAAGAGACGGACAUGAUAACAUAAAAUAAUCCAAAAUAGGAUAAGUGGAGGGACCAUAAACACAUUAAUGUGUUGCUUAAUUAGGCAUGAUACCACACAUGGGGAGGUAUGUACAUCCACUCACUAUUCAUUUAAUUAUUCUCUUUAUAUACACUAUUUGUUUAUUUAUACAUUUCAAAUCUCACUAUAUCUUUCUAUAGAUACCAAGAUGUUGAUUUUGCUAAAUCUGUUUGUAAUAAUGGAGUGCCCAUUUCAGUUGGAAGAAGCUCGGCUAGAAAGGAGUUCGGUAAGCUCGGCUUACCGAGCUGGAACUAGCCUGGUACUAGCCGAGGAGAAG